GACGAACGCUGGCGGCGUGCUUAACACAUGCAAGUCGAACGAUGAAAGCGGGAGCUUGCUCCUGCUGGAUUAGUGGCGAACGGGUGAGUAACACGUGAGCAAUCUGCCCCGAACUCUGGGAUAAGCGUUGGAAACGACGUCUAAUACCGGAUACGACGCGCGAAGGCAUCUUCUGCGCGUGGAAAGAAUUUCGGUUCGGGAUGAGCUCGCGGCCUAUCAGCUAGUUGGUGAGGUAAUGGCUCACCAAGGCGACGACGGGUAGCCGGCCUGAGAGGGUGACCGGCCACACUGGGACUGAGACACGGCCCAGACUCCUACGGGAGGCAGCAGUGGGGAAUAUUGCACAAUGGGCGCAAGCCUGAUGCAGCAACGCCGCGUGAGGGACG
rnacentral:rRNA from 1 species